CCUACGGGGGGCAGCAGUCGAGAAUCAUUCACAAUGGGGGAAACCCUGAUGGUGCGACGCCGCGUGGAGGAAUGAAGGUCUUCGGAUUGUAAACCCCUGUCAUGUGGGAGCAAAUUAAAAAGAUAGUACCACAAGAGGAAGAGACGGCUAACUCUGUGCCAGCAGCCGCGGUAAUACAGAGGUCUCAAGCGUUGUUCGGAAUCACUGGGCGUAAAGCGUGUGUAGGCUGUUUCGUAAGUCGUGUGUGAAAGGCGCGGGCUCAACCCGCGGACGGCACAUGAUACUGCGAGACUAGAGUAAGGGAGGGGGAACCGGAAUUCUCGGUGUAGCAGUGAAAUGCGUAGAUAUCGAGAGGAACACUCGUGGUGAAGGCGGGUUCCUGGACAUUAACUGACGCUGAGGCACGAAGGCCAGGGGAGCGAAAGGGAUUAGAUACCCGUGUAGUC
rnacentral:rRNA from 1 species